CAGUAGCCACGGUAAUACGAAGGGUGCAAGCGUUACUCGGAAUUACUGGGCGUAAAGGGUGCGUAGGUGGUCUUUUAAGUCCGUUGUGAAAUCCCUGGGCUCAACCUGAGAAUGGCAGUGGAUACUGGAAGGCUAGAGUGCGGUAGAGGGUAGUGGAAUUCCCGGUGUAGCAGUGAAAUGCGUAGAGAUCGGGAGGAACACCAGUGGCGAAGGCGGCUACCUGGACCAGCACUGACACUGAAGCACGAAAGCGUGGGGAGCGAACAGGAUUAGAUACCCGCGUAGUCCCUGUCUCUUAUAA
rnacentral:rRNA from 1 species